UGACGCUGGUGAGACCGGAGCUGCCACAGAAGGCGCAGUUAAUGGGAGCGGGAGUGUCUCUAUAAAUCGUCUGCUGAAGAGGCACACCUUUGGGAUCACCGACGACGGCGUUGGGAGGGAUCUGGCCGGAUUGAUAUUGAUUAUUUCCGACAUAGUAUUGCUGUGGUGGAGGAGGUUGGUAAUUGGGGUUAUUUCCGACAUAGUAUUGCUGUUGUGGAGGAGCGUAAACAGGAGGAUGUUGGUAAUUGGAAUUGUAGGGGAUCCCCAUCACCGGUUCUUCUUUCUUGUUCUCCAUCUUUGACGACACCGAUGGAUCAAUUACUCCGAUCAAUUUGUAAAAGACGCGUUAUAGGGAGUGGUUGGGGGCUUACCGAAAUCAAAUAGACUUUCAACAAUGGAAUCGUACGCAAAUAUGAAUUAUAUAGAGGAGAUGUAAGCUGCGAAGAUGGUCGUGGAUGACGGUUUAUACAAGUCUUGUGUUUGUGUUCACUUCAUUUUUUCAGGGCUCUUCCAGAGCAUCUAAUUUUACUGGACAUUUUUGCCCUUCAUCAUAUCUUU
rnacentral:lncRNA from 1 species